rnacentral:lncRNA from 1 species
GUGUCCUUAGUUAGCAAGUUGAUAUUGGGUUUUGUCAUUCCCUGCCGUACUAGCUAAUUAACUAAUUACUAGUUUACAACCAACUUGAAUCAAUCGCUGUUCUCUUGUCCAACUGCCAUAUCGUAUUCUAAACCAACCAGCAAAAACUAUAGAUAUUAGUACAUUUCAACUUGAAACCUUCUCUUUUCUCGAAGAUGUGAUCACAAGUUGGUGGCACUAGCUUUUUUUUCUUUUUUUGAUAAAAGGCCUUUUGGGUCCAGUUUUAUUAGAAAAGAGAAAGCCAAAGUAGUCUGUGGGAUACCAGCGUUACAGGCAAACAUAUCCACCCAAACCA